rnacentral:misc_RNA from 1 species
AAGUCGUAACAAGGUUUCCGUAGGUGAACCUGCGGAAGGAUCAUUAUAGAGAACAUGCCCAUCUGGGUAUAUCUCCCACCCUAUGUUUACAAUCCCCUAUUGCUUUGGUGGGCCCCGUCUAAAAGACCACCGGCCUUAGCUGGCCAGUGCCCACCAGAGGACCUCAAACUCUCUAUAAUUGUUGUCUGAGUACCAUAUAAUAGUUAAAACUUUCAACAACGGAUCUCUUGGUUCUG